rnacentral:lncRNA from 1 species
UCUUUCUGCCCCCGAUAACAGAAAAUCUCUUUUUCGUCUUAAAAAAAAAAAAAAAAAAAAAAGCCUGUGGAAGACUCAGCAGAACCCAGGAAGCGCAGAAUUGGGAGAAAAGUCUUUGGCUGGGGCUGUUUCAAGUCUCUGGUUCAAUGGGCUGCUCGAAGCCAGGACUGGGUAAUUCUUUCCAGACGUCUUGACUUCUCCUUCCUCGCCGUUGUUGCCUUUCUGCCUCCUCCAACUUAAGGGGGUCUUAACAAGAUCUUCUGAGGGGUGGACUUCUUUGGAACUCGACAGGACCUUGAAGACUGGGUUCUUAGUCCUUAUCACAUAUAUGGGCUAUAAUGAAAAAACACAUUUGUUGUUUCUCGCCUCUUGUAAUUCAAGACCCAUAAGACAAAAGUAAAAUGUUCUCUGACUGCAAAUGGAUGUAAAAACUGAUUAUACAGCUACACAUUUCUGUCAUCCUCCAAUCUCUACCCCAAAGAAAGAGGAGCUGUUUGGAUCAGAAGAUGACAUCUUUCACCCAUCCCUUUCAGGUUUUGAUAUCCUAAAAUGUACCUUAUGGAACCCAUACCUGUUAUGUUUUCACCUGUACAAGGCAACAGAGAAAACAUGUUUGCGUGAGGCAAAGGGAUUUCCAGCAUCUCAUAGAAAUUGGACUACUUGCCUUUUAGUGUUAAUUCCAAGGCUGAACUCCCAUGGCUCUAGAAUUAAUGUGGAGAAAAUUUUGAAGAUGGUAUGGCUGUAUUAAUGAUGGUCAGUAGAUUUUAAAAUGUGAAGAGACGGAGAUCUAAGCAUUUAUCAGACACUCAAGAAAUUGG